UCACAGAGCUUGGACAGAGAAUUCCUUUAUCCACAUUGGCAUCUUCACCUGUGGGUUUCAAUCAGGCACCAGCUUACAUCUCAAUCUGGCCUUUUGGCUGUACGUCCUCCUUGCAAUCGCCAUCCUUUUCAUCAUUUUUUUCUCAUGUUUUCCCUUCUUCAGGGAGGUUAAUAAGCAAUGUAAGUGUCAAUGUGGAAUAUGUAUGCAUGGAAAGAGGAGAAGAGGUCUAUGACAAUGUCAGAACAUGAAGAAGUAUUUGGGACUCUGACUGAGCUAAGAUGAAUGCCCAGUCCUGCUCAGGUGCAGAUCUUUUCUGAUUAAUGGUGUGCAUAAGGAUAAAGAUGAAACUAUUAUAAAGAUGGACCUUCUAGCAGGACCAGGUCACCUUCUUCAGUCUCCUGGGAGAGAAGCUCUGAGAGGAGAGGAAAUUGGGCUGAGUGAAGAUCACUCACCUCUUGUGAAGGUGAUGGGGAAGGGAACCCAGGAAGUCUGCCCAAUAACUUCAGUUUGAGAAUGACCGAAUAUUAGGAAUCCCCUGCGAAUCCCCUGUGCUGUCAUGUCUCAGACAGGAGAGGGCUUCCAAGACCCUCCUUAUCUGUUUAUACUGAAAUUAAAUUGAUAGUAAAUACUUUGAUGUUCUCCA